UCCGAAAUCUGUCCGCCAAAAUGAGACCACAAAGUGAGGAAUUUUUCUAUGGAGGAUAAAAUGAGUUUCGAAUGUGGAAAAUGUCCAUUUGUUAGAGCGGUCCCUCGACUAUCUUGUCAAUAUAAUAUACAUCGUUGCUCGUAUCUAGUUUAGUGUCGGAGAUACAAAAAAACCUAGAAGAUUGGACAGAAUGAACACCAAAGAAGCAACGCAAGAGGCAGAAUUCAAUAGGGCUGUUCACGAGUCAAUCCGGAAGGCCAGCAGCUUGUCGGAGUGCAGGUUGUUGAGGGUGCGCAGGUCGGGCAAGUGCAGGAGCAGCUUGGGGAAGAUGGACACGCUCUCGUCGGGACGACGGCAGUGGAUGAGGGAAUGCAGGGCACGGAUUAACCCCUCCUGGAGCUGUUCUACUGCCCCCAUAUCAACGAUGCCAGAAAGGUCUAAGGAGACAAGAAGAGAGGAGACCAGCACCACAGCCAUGAACAGAGCCAUCUCAUCAGGCUCCAGCCUCAGAGUUCCCAGCUUCUCACUGAAGUCAAAGAUGGCGUCGAGCAGCGCCCCCAUCCCCAGCGCCCGCAGGGUGGACAGAGGGUACGUCUGGCCAUUCAGGAAGGUCACCGUCCGCUCCUCAGGGUUAAACAUUGUACAAAACCUCACCAUCAACACCUGACCGAGACAGAAGACCCAGUGGAAGGCAGCAUCACAACAGAAGUGUCCGAGAGAGAGAAGACAGAGCUGAGAGAUAGAGAACUGCAGGGGAGGAGGUCCUGGGAAAUCACGCGCCGCACGCGGCUCUGCAAGUGCGUCAACGUGAGGAUGAAUUGAGAAUGCGAGGAGUGCAUUCAGUGGGAAGACUCGCGCUGCAUGAAGCUCCCAUCAGAAGUCAGAAUUUCUAAGCACCCCACGCGGCAUAUAGUCUCUGUCAUAAUUAAAGAGGAAAAAUAAAUAGAGUUGGAUGUAGCGUUGGCUGAGGAUGUUCUGAGUUCGCGCCAAGGAGACCCAUGCACCGCAUAGCACAACCUGGUCUCAGAGCACUUUGUGUUAUUCUGUAUGUAAAUCAGGAACACCAUUUAGUAUGAUAUGUUAUGUUUGGUAUGGUUACAUAAAACAUAAUGGAUGGGUGGGUGUGGUAUGGUUAUAUAAGACAGGGUGGAUGGGUGGGUGUAUAACACAAACAUCUAGCAAACCAAGUUAGAAACUUAUCACAGACAACAUUAGCAUUUUAGCUAAUUAGCUACUUUGCAACUAUUUAGCAUAUUAGCUAUCCCUUCACCUAACCUAAAUCCUAAAUUUAACCCUAGCCAAAUGUAGGCACAUAUAUAAAGGCCAAUAGUUACAGAAUAUGUUAUUGAUUUAAUUUUUUUACCAAUAAAUUAUUAAUAACUGACAUGGAACAAGUUCUGACAUGGAGCGUGAGCCUUCCCACUGAAUGCACUCCUCGCAUUCUCAAUUCAUCCUCACCUCGAUGCACUUGCAGAGUGCAUCACAAUAUUUGUUCACCUAUUCCACUUCCAGCUGUUGAGUGGUUCCAGUCCAUGUGAUGGAAACGACUGUGUGCCUUGACCCAAGCCGUUUCCAUCCAUGUACUGGAACGUGACUGCAGAGUUAGUAAAUUAAUUACCACUCAACAUCCGGAAGUGGAAUAGGUGAACAAAUAUUAUGAUGCCUGGUGUACUUUGGCUAACCUCAAUGAAACAACCCCCAAUGCUCCAUGUGUAACUGUAGAGCUUCCCAUGGCCAUAAACUUUGCCUUUUGAACCAAUAUCACUGCUCCCGCCUCCAAUAGUAAUCACAACACUUCUUCUACCUAUUUAUUAUCUCAAUGCCAACUGGGUGGUAUAGAGCAGGAGUUUACAAACCUUUUCACUCACUCCCUUCCAUCAUUGGGGAAUAUCCCAUGGCCCCCUGCGCACCCGUGCCACAUCUAUUUCUGUGUGCACAAGCACUGUUCUUGACACAAAUUGUUCACACCCCUCUUGUUGGUGGAGACAAUUUUGCCAGUUUAAAGCUUAGUUCCUGCAAUUCUAUACAUUUUGUCAUGUGGUGCGAAGA